AUGGAGAAAUGAAGAAGCAUGAUGCUUACUUCGUAUAUGAAUUGUUUAUACUAACGUUUCUGUUCAAUUUUGAGCGAUCAUGCUCAAAAUAAUAUGGGUCUAUAGCUCAGCUGGUUAGAGCGCACGCCUGAUAAGCGUGAGGUCGAUGGUUCGAGUCCAUUUAGACCCACCAUUAUGUUCUUUGAAAAUUGCAUAUAAAAUGAUAAUAUAUAACUUCAAACAUAUUGAGAAGUAAGCCAAGAAAUAUUCUUUGUGAUAUUUAAUGCAAAACUUUGAAAAACGACUGAAGAGUUUUAACUUGAAAAAUAGUUAGAACUGAGUUUGAUUAGGAGCGAGUAGAACAAGGAAGUGAGGAGUGACUGGCGGAAUGUACUUUCGUACAUGAGCAAAGGGACGACGAAACUGACGAAGUAAUACGAAGGUAAUAAUCAAACGAAGAUA
rnacentral:misc_RNA from 1 species